rnacentral:rRNA from 1 species
GACGAACGCUGGCGGCGUGCUUAACACAUGCCAGUCGAACGGAAAGGCCCUGCUUUUGUGGGGUGCUCGAGUGGCGAACGGGUGAGUAACACGUGAGUAACCUGCCCUUGACUUUGGGAUAACUUCAGGAAACUGGGGCUAAUACCGGAUAGGAGCUCCUGCUGCAUGGUGGGGGUUGGAAAGUUUCGGCGGUUGGGGAUGGACUCGCGGCUUAUCAGCUUGUUGGUGGGGUAGUGGCUUACCAAGGCUUUGACGGGUAGCCGGCCUGAGAGGGUGACCGGCCACAUUGGGACUGAGAUACGGCCCAGACUCCUACGGGAGGCAGCAGUGGGGAAUAUUGCACAAUGGGCGGAAGCCUGAUACAGCAACGCCGCGUGCGGGAUGACGGCCUUCGGGUUGUAAACCGCUUUCGCCUGUGACGAAGCGUGAGUGACGGUAAUGGGUAAAGAAGCACCGGCUAACUACGUG